rnacentral:misc_RNA from 1 species
AGCAGCCGCGGUAAUUCCAGCUCCAAUAGCGUAUAUUAAAGUUGUUGCAGUUAAAAAGCUCGUAGUUGAAUUUCGGAAUCAAUGGAUCGGUCAUGCCACUCGGUGUGUACUGGUUUGAUUGGUUCUCACCUUCUAAGGAACCGUGAUGUCAUUAAUUUGGUGUCGCGGGGAAUUAGGACUGUUACUUUGAAAAAUUAGAGUGUUUAAAGCAAGCUCACGCUUGAAUACAUUAGCAUGGAAUAAUGAAAUAGGACAUUGUAUUCUAUUUUGUGGUUUCUAGGAUCGAUGUAAUGAUUAAUAGGGAUAGUUGGGGGCAUUAGUAUUCAAUUGUCAGAGGUGAGAUUCUUGGAUUUAUUGAAGACUAACUACUGCGAAAGCAUUUGCCAAGGAUGUUUUCAUUAAUCAAGAACGAAAGUUAGGGGGUCGAAGACGAUCAGAUACCGUCGUAGUCUUAAACCAUAAACUAUGCCGACUAGGGAUCGGAUGAUGUUAAUUUUAAUGACUCAUUAC